AGAGUUUGAUCCUGGCUCAGGAUGAACGCUGGCGGUGUGCUUAACACAUGCAAGUCGAGCGAAGCAGUUAAGAAGAUUCUUCGGAUGAUUUUUAACUGACUGAGCGGCGGACGGGUGAGUAACGCGUGGGUGACCUGCCCCAUACCGGGGGAUAACAGCUGGAAACGGCUGCUAAUACCGCAUAAGCGCACAGAGCUGCAUGGCUCGGUGUGAAAAACUCCGGUGGUAUGGGAUGGGCCCGCGUCUGAUUAGGGUAGUUGGCGGGGUAACGGCCCACCAAACCGACGAUCAGUAGCCGGCCUGAGAGGGCGACCGGCCACAUUGGGACUGAGACACGGCCCAAACUCCUACGGGAGGCAGCAGUGGGGAAUAUUGCACAAUGGGGGAAACCCUGAUGCAGCGACGCCGCGUGAGCGAAGAAGUAUUUCGGUAUGUAAAGCUCUAUCAGCAGGGAAGAUAAUGACGGUACCUGACUAAGAAGCCCCGGCUAACUACGUGCCAGCAGCCGCGGUAAUACGUAGGGGGCAAGCGUUAUCCGGAUUUACUGGGUGUAAAGGGAGCGUAGACGGCAAGGCAAGUCUGAUGUGAAAACCCAGGGCUUAACCCUGGGACUGCAUUGGAAACUGUCUGGCUCGAGUGCCGGAGAGGUAAGCGGAAUUCCUAGUGUAGCGGUGAAAUGCGUAGAUAUUAGGAAGAACACCAGUGGCGAAGGCGGCUUACUGGACGGUAACUGACGUUGAGGCUCGAAAGCGUGGGGAGCAAAGCAGGAUUAGAUACCCUGGUAGUCCACGCCGUAAACGAUGAA
rnacentral:rRNA from 1 species